rnacentral:rRNA from 1 species
UACAUAGGGAGCAAGCGUUGUCCGGAUUUACUGGGUGUAAAGGGUGCGUAGGCGGCCGAGCAAGUCAGAUGUGAAAUGUAUGGGCUCAACCCAUAGACUGCAUUUGAAACUGUUUGGCUUGAGUGAAGUAGAGGCAGGCGGAAUUCCCGGUGUAGCGGUGAAAUGCGUAGAGAUCGGGAGGAACACCAGUGGCGAAGGCGGCCUGCUGGGCUUUAACUGACGCUGAGGCACGAAAGCGUGGGUAGCAA